UAUGGGAAUAGUUCCAAGACCUGCCUG
rnacentral:piRNA from 1 species